UUUACAGGUUCCAAGGAUCCCAAGAAGAGAUGUUGAAGAGACUUUAAAACCGACGCCAUGAGAAGAGAGACUCUCUCUACUGAUGGUGGUUUGUUCUAAAGCCUCUAAAAAAUUCAUGGGAGAUCGGUAUAAACACUACUUAAAGAAGAAAUAUUAAGCGAUCAAGAUCUUCUGAAGAAUACAGAGAAGAGGUUUGUUCCCACGCGGCACGUGAGAGAAGACGGAGGUUCCAAGGAUCCCAAGAAGAGAUGUUGAAGAGACUUUAAAACCGACGCCAUGAGAAGAGAGACUCUCUCUACUGAUGGUGGUUUGUUCUAAAGCCUCUAACAAAUUCAUGGGACGUCGGUAUAAACACUACUUAAAGAAGAAUUAUUAAUCAGUCAAGAUCAUCUGAAGAAAAAUAAGAAGAGCAUUCAUCCCCCAGGGCACGUCAGAUAAGACCAAGGUUCCAAGGAUCCCAAGAGGAGAUGUUGAAGAGACUUUAAAACCGACGCCAUGAGAAGAGAGACUCUCUCUACUGAUGGUGGUUUGUUCUAAAGCCUCUAAAAAAUUCAUGGGAGAUCGGUAUAAACACUACUUAAAGAAGAAAUAUUAAGCGAUCAAGAUCUUCUGAAGAAUACAGAGAAGAGGUUAGAUCCCACACGGCACGUGAGAGAAGACGAAGGUUCCAAGGAUCCCAAGAAGAGAUGUUGAAGAGACUUUAAAACCGACGCCAUGAGAAGAGAGACUCUCUCUACUGAUGGUGGUUUGUUCUAAAGCCUCUAAAAAAUUCAUGGGACGUCGGUAUAAACACUACUUAAAGAAGAAUUAUUAAUCAGUCAAGAUCAUCUGAAGAAAAAUAAGAAGAGCAUUCAUCCCCCAGGGCACGUCAGAUAAGACCAAGGUUCCAAGGAUCCCAAGAGGAGAUGUUGAAGAGACUUUAAAACCGACGCCAUGAGAAGAGAGACUCUCUCUACUGAUGGUGGUUUGUUCUAAAGCCUCUAAAAAAUUCAUGGGAGAUCGGUAUAAACACUACUUAAAGAAGAAAUAUUAAGCGAUCAAGAUCUUCUGAAGAAUACAGAGAAGAGGUUUGUUCCCACGCGGCACGUGAGAGAAGACGGAGGUUCCAAGGAUCCCAAGAAGAGAUGUUGAAGAGACUUUAAAACCGACGCCAUGAGAAGAGAGACUCUCUCUACUGAUGGUGGUUUGUUCUAAAGCCUCUAACAAAUUCAUGGGACGUCGGUAUAAACACUACUUAAAGAAGAAUUAUUAAUCAGUCAAGAUCAUCUGAAGAAAAAUAAGAAGAGCAUUCAUCCCCCAGGGCACGUCAGAUAAGACCAAGGUUCCAAGGAUCCCAAGAGGAGAUGUUGAAGAGACUUUAAAACCGACGCCAUGAGAAGAGAGACUCUCUCUACUGAUGGUGGUUUGUUCUAAAGCCUCUAAAAAAUUCAUGGGAGAUCGGUAUAAACACUACUUAAAGAAGAAAUAUUAAGCGAUCAAG